GGAGGAUCCAAGCGUUAUCCGGAUUUAUUGGGUUUAAAGGGUGCGUAGGUGGCCUAUUAAGUCAGGGGUGAAAGACGGUAGCUUAACUAUCGCAGUGCCUUUGAUACUGAUGGGCUUGAAUACAGUUGGAGUGGGCGGAAUGUGACAAGUAGCGGUGAAAUGCAUAGAUAUGUCACAGAACACCGAUUGCGAAGGCAGCUCACUAAAGUGUGAUUGACACUGAGGCACGAAAGCGUGGGGAUCAAACAGGAUUAGAUACCCUGGUAGUCCACGCCCUAAACGAUGAAUACUCGAUGUUGGCGAUAUACGGUCAGCGUCUAAGCGAAAGCGUUAAGUAUUCCACCUGGGGAGUACGCCCGCAAGGGUG
rnacentral:rRNA from 1 species